rnacentral:rRNA from 1 species
UACACACCGCCCGUCACACCACGAAAGUGGUUAUAACCAGAAGCAGGCGAGCCAACCGCAAGGAGGCAGCCUACCAAGGUUGUAGCCGUGAUUGGGGUG